GCUUGUCUCAAAGAUUAAGCCAUGCAUGUCUCAGUAUAAGUUCCUGUACGGCGAAACUGCGAAUGGCUCAUUAAAACAGUUACAGUUUAUUUGAUGGUCGUUCCUUACAUGGAUAACUGUGGUAAUUCUAGAGCUAAUACAUGCGUAAAUACCCAACUGCUUGUCGGACGGGUAGCAUUUAUUAGAUUGAAACCAAUGCAGCUUCGGCUGGUAUUGUGUUGAGUCAUAAUAACUGUGCGGAUCGCUUUUUAAGCGAUAAAUCGAUUGAGUUUCUGCCCUAUCAGCUUUGGAUGGUAGGAUAUGGGCCUACCAUGGCGUUAACGGGUAACGGGGAAUUAGGGUUUGAUUCCGGAGAGGGAGCCUUAGAAACGGCUACCACAUCCAAGGAAGGCAGCAGG
rnacentral:rRNA from 1 species